rnacentral:rRNA from 1 species
AUUGAACGCUGGCGGAAUGCUUUACACAUGCAAGUCGAACGGCAGCACGGACUUCGGUCUGGUGGCGAGUGGCGAACGGGUGAGUAAUAUAUCGGAACGUGCUCAGUCGUGGGGGAUAACGUAGUGAAAAUUACGCUAACACCGCAUACGAUCUACGGAUGAAAGCGGGGGAUCGCAAGACCUCGCGCGAUUGGAGCGGCCGAUAUCAGAUUAGGUAGUUGGUGAGGUAAAGGCUCACCAAGCCAACGAUCUGUAGCUGGUCUGAGAGGACGACCAGCCACACUGGAACUGAGACACGGUCCAGACUCCUACGGGAGGCAGCAGUGGGGAAUUUUGGACAAUGGACGCAAGUCUGAUCCAGCCAUUCCGCGUGCAGGACGAAGGCCUUCGGGUUGUAAACUGCUUUUGUACAGAACGAAAAGGUCUCUAUUAAUACUAGGGGCUCAUGACGGUACCGUAAGAAUAAGCACCGGCUAACUACGUGCCAGCCGCCGCAGUAACAC